rnacentral:rRNA from 1 species
AAUCCAUAGGUUAAUGAGGCGAACCGGGGGAACUGAAACAUCUAAGUACCCCGAGGAAAAGAAAUCAACCGAGAUUCCCCCAGUAGCGGCGAGCGAACGGGGAGGAGCCCAGAGCCUGAAUCAGCAUGUGUGUUAGUGGAAGCGUCUGGAAAGGCGCGCGAUACAGGGUGACAGCCCCGUACACAAAAGCGCAUGUGCUGUGAGCUCGAUGAGUAGGGCGGGACACGUGGUAUCCUGUCUGAAUAUGGGGGGACCAUCCUCCAAGGCUAAAUACUCCUGACUGACCGAUAGUGAACCAGUACCGUGAGGGAAAGGCGAAAAGAACCCCGGCGAGGGGAGUGAAAAAGAACCUGAAACCGUGUACGUACAAGCAGUGGGAGCACCCUUUGGGUGUGACUGCGUACCUUUUGUAUAAUGGGUCAGCGACUUAUAUUCUGUAGCAAGGUUAACCGAAUAGGGGAGCCGGAGGGAAACCGAGUCUUAAUUGGGCGUUAAGUUGCAGGGUAUAGACCCGAAACCCGGUGAUCUAGCCAUGGGCAGGUUGAAGGUUGGGUAACACUAACUGGAGGACCGAACCGACUAAUGUUGAAAAAUUAGCGGAUGACCUGUGGCUGGGGGUGAAAGGCCAAUCAAACCGGGAGAUAGCUGGUUCUCCCCGAAAGCUAUUUAGGUAGCGCCUCGUGAAUUCAUCUCCGGGGGUAGAGCACUGUUUCGGCUAGGGGGCCAUCCCGGCUUACCAACCCGAUGCAAACUGCGAAUACCGGAGAAUGUUAUCACGGGAGACACACGGCGGGUGCUAACGUCCGUCGUGAAGAGGGAAACAACCCAGACCGCCAGCUAAGGUCCCAAAGUCAUGGUUAAGUGGGAAACGAUGUGGGAAGGCCCAGACAGCCAGGAUGUUGGCUUAGAAGCAGCCAUCAUUUAAAGAAAGCGUAAUAGCUCACUGGUCGAGUCGGCCUGCGCGGAAGAUGUAACGGGGCUAAACCAUGCACCGAAGCUGCGGCAGCGACACUGUGUGUUGUUGGGUAGGGGAGCGUUCUGUAAGCCUGUGAAGGUGUGUCGUGAGGCAUGCUGGAGGUAUCAGAAGUGCGAAUGCUGACAUAAGUAACGAUAAAGCGGGUGAAAAGCCCGCUCGCCGGAAGACCAAGGGUUCCUGUCCAACGUUAAUCGGGGCAGGGUGAGUCGACCCCUAAGGCGAGGCCGAAAGGCGUAGUCGAUGGGAAACGGGUUAAUAUUCCCGUACUUGGUGUUACUGCGAAGGGGGGACGGAGAAGGCUAUGUUGGCCGGGCGACGGUUGUCCCGGUUUAAGCGUGUAGGUGUGUGUUCCAGGUAAAUCCGGUUCACUUUAACACUGAGGCGUGACGACGAGGCACUACGGUGCUGAAGCAACAAAUGCCCUGCUUCCAGGAAAAGCCUCUAAGCAUCAGGUAACAUCAAAUCGUACCCCAAACCGACACAGGUGGUCAGGUAGAGAAUACCAAGGCGCUUGAGAGAACUCGGGUGAAGGAACUAGGCAAAAUGGUGCCGUAACUUCGGGAGAAGGCACGCUGACACGUAGGUGAAGUGAUUUACUCAUGGAGCUGAAGUCAGUCGAAGAUACCAGCUGGCUGCAACUGUUUAUUAAAAACACAGCACUGUGCAAACACGAAAGUGGACGUAUACGGUGUGACGCCUGCCCGGUGCCGGAAGGUUAAUUGAUGGGGUCAGCGCAAGCGAAGCUCCUGAUCGAAGCCCCGGUAAACGGCGGCCGUAACUAUAACGGUCCUAAGGUAGCGAAAUUCCUUGUCGGGUAAGUUCCGACCUGCACGAAUGGCGUAAUGAUGGCCAGGCUGUCUCCACCCGAGACUCAGUGAAAUUGAACUCGCUGUGAAGAUGCAGUGUACCCGCGGCAAGACGGAAAGACCCCGUGAACCUUUACUAUAGCUUGACACUGAACAUUGAGCCUUGAUGUGUAGGAUAGGUGGGAGGCUUUGAAGUGUGGACGCCAGUCUGCAUGGAGCCGACCUUGAAAUACCACCCUUUAAUGUUUGAUGUUCUAACGUGGACCCGUUACCCGGGUUGCGGACAGUGUCUGGUGGGUAGUUUGACUGGGGCGGUCUCCUCCUAAAGAGUAACGGAGGAGCACGAAGGUUGGCUAAUCCUGGUCGGACAUCAGGAGGUUAGUGCAAUGGCAUAAGCCAGCUUGACUGCGAGCGUGACGGCGCGAGCAGGUGCGAAAGCAGGUCAUAGUGAUCCGGUGGUUCUGAAUGGAAGGGCCAUCGCUCAACGGAUAAAAGGUACUCCGGGGAUAACAGGCUGAUACCGCCCAAGAGUUCAUAUCGACGGCGGUGUUUGGCACCUCGAUGUCGGCUCAUCACAUCCUGGGGCUGAAGUAGGUCCCAAGGGUAUGGCUGUUCGCCAUUUAAAGUGGUACGCGAGCUGGGUUUAGAACGUCGUGAGACAGUUCGGUCCCUAUCUGCCGUGGGCGCUGGAGAACUGAGGGGGGCUGCUCCUAGUACGAGAGGACCGGAGUGGACGCAUCACUGGUGUUCGGGUUGUCAUGCCAAUGGCACUGCCCGGUAGCUAAAUGCGGAAGAGAUAAGUGCUGAAAGCAUCUAAGCACGAAACUUGCCCCGAGAUGAGUUCUCCCUGAGACUUAAAGUCUCCUGAAGGAACGUUG